rnacentral:rRNA from 1 species
AGACCUCAGAUCAGGCAAGACUACCCGCUGAGUUUAAGCAUAUCAAUAAGCGGAGGAA